AGCAGCCGCGGUAAUUCCAGCUCCUUUAGAGUAUAUUAAAGUUGUUGCAGUUAAAAAGCUCGUAGUUGAAUUUCGGGAUCAGCAGGUUGGUCGUGCCUCUGGUAUGCACUGGUUUCGCUGAUUCCUCCUUUCUGAAGAACUGUAAUGUCAUUAAUUUGGUGUUGCAGGGAAACAGGACUGUUACUUUGAAAAAAUUAGAGUGUUUAAAGCAGGCUAACGCUUGAAUACAUUAGCAUGGAAUAAUGAAAUAGGACGUUUGAUCCCAUUUUGUUGGUUUCUAGGAUUGCACGCCAAUGAUUAACAGGGAUAGUUGGGGGCAUUAGUAAUUCAAUGGUCAGUUUGUGAAAUUCUCUGGAUUUAUUGAAGACUACUCUACGUGCGGAGAGCAUUUGCCGAAGGAUGUUUUCUUCUA
rnacentral:rRNA from 1 species